UACCGGAAGGUGCACUUGGAUAAACUCAGGGCUUAGCUAAGCAGAUAUAGCAUCUCC
rnacentral:tRNA from 1 species